UACAGAGGCCUCAAGCGUUGUUCGGAAUUACUGGGCGUAAAGGGAAUGUAGGUGGUUACGUAAGUUAGAUGUGAAAGCCCUGGGCUUAACCUGGGAACUGCAUUUAAUACUGCGUGACUUGAGUGCGAUAGAGGAGAGCGGAAUUCCUAGUGUAGGAGUGAAAUCCGUAGAUAUUAGGAGGAAUACCGAUGGCGAAGGCAGCUCUCUGGCUCGUAACUGACACUGAGAUUCGAAAGCGUGGGUAGCAAACAGG
rnacentral:rRNA from 1 species